ensembl:lncRNA
AUGGGGCCGCCUCCGACUCCAGCCCCGGUGCAGCAGCCGCAGCCGCCGCGCACGGGGAGAGCAGCAGCGCCACGGACUGGGAAGUUCCGGACGCUUGCUCCUACUUUUUCUUUCCCUAUUAAAGAAAAGAGUAAAGACCGUUCGGCCGAACGGCAGUACAUGGUACCUAAAGAGCGAUAUUCCCCAGGCCACCUGCGUCCUACGCUUGUGGUGCGCUCCUCCAUGUUGCCUCUUUCCCCCUCUCAGCCCGGUGGCUGUAGGGUGGCGGUCGGACAGCGUGUUCACAUGGCCUCUGGUUCACCUGCUUCUAAGAAGCGGCGUCCCUUGGAGCCUCGUGGACGGAUCAGAGACUCAUUGCACGAGCCCGUGGAUAUGGCCGCUUGUACCGGUCUCCUGGUUCCCCACAUUAUAGGUGAGGAGAUGGGUCCGCGCGCUGUGGCUACAGCCUGCGGACAGCGCAUGCGCACAGGUGCUGCUGCCGGACGGCUCGCUCCCUGUUCAGCGGGCACGAGCGCGACGUCUAGACAGCUCGUUGUUUUUACAGCUGCUAGUUCUGGUACGUCUCCUACGCUCGCUGAGCCUCCUCCCUUUCGUGGGAAGCCCCCCUUGGUUCACACGCAGUGUGGAGGCGGUAGGGGCAGAGGAAUACGGGUUAUUCCUGGACGGUCUUCCUCAGCUGUCGGCUCGCCCUCUCUCCAACCGCUAUGCGUGUUGGCAAGAGUGGUGCGUUCUGCCAUCGUGGUUGGACACCACGUUGAGAUGGGGCCAUCCCAUACAGUUCAAGCGUCGUCCCCCACCCUUUGUGGGGUUGGUGGAGACCACGCUACGGGACCCGGCUGCGAGCACGGCUCUGGCAGCAGAGGUGGCACGUCUCUUGGUAAAGGGGGCCAUCACUGUCGUUCCCCCCCACGAGUCUCACCUAGGUUUUUAUUCCCGCUACUUCCUGGUUUCCAAGAAGUCAGGGGAAAUGAGACCUAUUCUGGAUCUUCCCGUGUUCAACAGAUUCGUUGCCACGAGGAAGUUCAGAAUGCUCACGGUCGGAGCAUUGUUCCGGUGUGUGAGAGAGGGCGAUUGGUUCACAUCCCUGGAUCUCAAGGAUGCUUACUUCCACGUCCCUGUUCGGCAGGCGCACAGGAAGUUUCUCCGCUUUGCCUUUAUGGGGAUGGCGUACGAGUACCAGUGUCUGCCGUUCGGCUAUUCCCUGGCUCCGCGCACCUUCUCGAAGUGUGUGGAGACGGCGUUGGAACCGCUCAGACGUCAGGGAAAGAGGAUUCUCUUCUACCUAGACGAUCUGCUUAUUCUGAGCAACUCAGAAGAGACCGCGAGAAGGGACACCAUGUUGGUGAUAAACCAUCUCUCCUUCCUGGGUUUUGCCAUCAACUGGGAGAAGAGCUCCCCGCUCCCCAGCCGGCAGACAGUCUACUUGGGGCUUUGCCUAGACUCAGCCACCAUGACUGCGAUGCUUUCGCCUCCUCGGCGAGACGCCAUCCUGUCGGCGCUCUCCCGUUUUCACGUUCGCAGAAACGUGACCGCACUGUCCACCAUGCGCCUGUUGGGGCUGAUGGCAGCUGCCCACCCCGUGGUCCCCCUGGGUCUGCUUUUUAUGCGCAGACUCCAGCGGUGGUUUGCUCGCCAACGGUUGGACCCCAGGCGACACAAGCUCAGGGUGCUCCUCGUCCCCCGUUCGGUGUCGCCAGACCUGGAAUAUUGGAAAGGACCCUCCGCCCUUCUCAAGGGUGUUCCCCUGGGCAGGGUGGCGUCCUACGUAGUGGUCUUCACGGACGCCUCGUUGACGGGUUGGGGAGGAACGUGCCUCUCUCACUCGGUCUGAGACGAGUGGCGCACGCCCCCUACAGCACACAUAAAUGUGUUGGAGCGCGACGCUGUGAGGAAAGUGCUGUUGCAUUUCUUUCACCUGGUGCGCGGCCGCCACAUUCUGAUCAGGACAGACAGUGUGUCGGCGGCGGCGUACAUCAACAGACAGGGGGAAGUCCGCUCCCCUGCUCUCCACCGAAAGGCGGUCGAGCUCUGGCUUUGGGCUCAUCAGUAUCUCCGCAGUCUGAGAGCCCUGCAUAUCGCGGGCGCCCAGAACUUUGGGGCGGACCUCAUGUCUCGAGGCGGUCCACGCCGAGACGAGUGGCGGUUACAUCCCGACACUGUCAGACUGAUCUGGCAGAGGCUCGGGACAGCGCAGGUGGACCUCUUCGCGUCCCGGGAGAACACGCACUGCAGGUGGUGGUUCUCCCUCAGCCCUCGGGAUCUUCCCCCGUUGGGGGUAGAUGCGUUGGCACACACACCUUGGCCGCGGGCUCUCUUGUAUGCGUUUCCCCCGCUCCAGCUGAUCCUUCCUCUUCUGGAACGGGUCAGACAGGAGAGACUGUCCCUGAUAUUAGUGGCCCCGGAGAACCGUUCAGCUCUGUGGUUUCCAGAGCUGGCCGCGCUCUCGCGGUCGGCGCCUUGGCCAGUACCAUUCAGGCCGGAUGCGCUUUCACAGGCCCACGGGACGGUGCACCAGUAGUAUAUACUAUGUACUGUAUGGGUCCAUUCCUAUCUGAACACACUUCCGGUUGGGGUGGGGUGGGGGUGGAGGGGGGUAUCCCUAUUCACAAGAGCCACUUCCUGUUUAUGGUUUAUGACGGGUCAUAA